UUACGGCUAUAUCACGUUGAAACACCAGUUCUCGACUGAUCACUGAUGUUAAGCAACGUCGAGGCUGGUCAGUACUUGGAUGGGCGAUUGCUUUGGAAUACCAAGUGCUGUAA